UUUUUCAUCUGUGCGUACCCAACUAUGCGUACGAACACACGUUUUCACACCCUACUGGGAGCGUCCGCACAUACCUGUGCGCUCUCAACCCAGCCCUUUUUCCCUCGAUGCAUACGCACGCUCAUGUGCGCACGCACACAUGAUCCUUUUGUGGAAAAAAAAUUUGCUUUCUGGGCGUACGCCCCUGUUUCUGCGUAUGCACACUCAUUGACACCCUUCCUCCCAGGAGCAUACGAACACCCUUUGAUUUUCCUAGUGUGCGUACACCCACUUCUUUGUGCGUACACACAAAUUGCGUUUCGAACGUUAAUCCGAAAGGGAACCCUUAUCGUGCCUUCAAACCCCCUCCAAACUCUUUUCUUUCUUCUUCACUCUUACCCCUGCGCUGUCCCAUUCCAACCCAACCCAGACCACCAACCCCAGCCCUCCAUCCGACACCACCACCAUCACCGCCGGCAAACACAGUCGCCUACCCUCUUUCUCCUUUCUUUUUUCUUUCUUCCCCUUUCUCUCUCUCUAACUUCUUCGGGUCCUUGUACGCUGCCCCUGCGCCAGAGCUCGCUGCACCUUCAGCUUCGGUGAGGUAGCCCCGUCAUGAUCCCAGCGGCAGCGAUCCCUAUGCCGUCAUGACUGCUCCCUGCUCACCCCUGUUUCCCCAUUCUUCUUCCAUCAUCACCGCAGGAUGCGUCGCACAGGCAAGGAGCCGGCUUCAUCAUCGGCUCCCGCCACUGUUUGUCCGAGUGAUUAGCUGGACACCUUUGCAAGCGAAGAAGCCCACAAUCAAGACAAGAAGCUUGAGGAAAAAGGCCUUCCACUAUGAAAGGAAAUUAGAUGUGCCGGAAAGAUAGAGUUCUAUGGAAAUCUACUGAAGGCAGACGCUAAGACUGUCUUUCUCCGUGAGGUACAGCUAGAUACCUCGACUCAUGCGUUUGAGGCCCUCUUGCAGCUUCCUCACAUCACGCCUAGCCGAGAUGCCUAUCCAAAGAUAACGGCAGAUGUGAUCAAGGGCAACAAUUUAUUAGACACCAUCCUGAAGAAGAUUGGCCGACCUGAGGCCCGAUGGGAGUAGAGUUCAGGAGAGAAAGUGGCUCCCAUUAGUAUUGCAUGCUCUGACCUUCAUGCUGAGGCGAGGAUUUGGCAGCAGAUAAUUAUUGAUUAUCUGUUGCCGAGUACUCAUGCCACCCAGAUCAGAGUCUAAGUGGUUGUGCUUCUUUGGGCAAUCUUGGAAGGUAAAAUGAUUUUUGUUUUGCCCCUGAUCAGAGAGUCGAUGUGGAAGGUGAACAAAAACUAGAAGUUUAUCAUUCCCUUCCCAUCACUUGUUAUGAGGUUAGCCAUGGCAUCUGUAGUUUUUGCCAUUCGCGUAAUGGAAGGAGCCGGCACAGAAGAAGAGGAAGACUACGGAGCCAUCAUCAUCUUCAGCACCAUCAGCUCCUGCACCUGUAGCACGGCCUCUUUAUGAGUUAGUUCAGGACCUCAUUCAGGAAGUCCGCCGCAACGAGCACCACAAUGCUUGCCGUUUUCAGUGGAUGAUGGCGAAGCUUGAGGGAUGAGACCUUGGUCCAGCUCUUGCAGAUACACCAGAGCCUGAGCCUGAGCCUGAGCCGACAGUAGAGAAGGAGGCAGUUGAGAAUGUUGUUGCCGAGCUGACCCGAGACUUGAUUGUAUAUCAGCCAGCACCACCAGACAGUAGAGCUUCAUAGAGACAGUCAUCCCCAUCCUCAUAUUUUUUGGCACGGAGGACCGUGCAACGCUUAAGUAUGGGCGAGGAUUCGCAACUUUUUGGGUGUAACAUUCUCUUCCAAAUACUUUGUUAUCCAUUUUAGUUUAGUUCUUAUUAUGCUUUAUGUGGAUGUUUCUAGUACUUUUGACUUUUGCACUAUAUACUCGUAUUUUGGUCGUUUGUAUAUAUUUUGGUUUGCUUCUAGUUUUAUUUCAUUUUGGUUGAUAUAUAUAUGUACAUAUAUAUAUUGCACUUUUAUUUUACUUGGUAUAUAUUGUAUAUAUAGUAGUGUGAUUUGAUGAUCUAAAUA